UUUAGAAAAGCAUCUGGAUGCCCACGCCACCACCCUCCCAGCCACCUCUGAAGUUGCCAGGCUUCCCAACAUUCUUGUCUGUGAUAUUAAAGCCAUGACAGCAAACAGCCCCUUUCUCCUAAGGUUCCUGAUUUGAAGUGGCAAAACAAGGCAGUGGCAUAGUCUCCUGUCCUAUGUCCUUGGCAUGCAGCCUCCACCCAGCUCUGGCUGCAGAGGGCCGCACUCCGCUUGUACCGCAAUUCAUGCACAGUCCAGACUUAUACAGCAGCCGGCAACCCUAAGGGCAGGAUGAUUCCGAGACACACCAAAUCUUUGGCUUCAGGUCACAUGUUGCUCUGGAGAACCGAGAAGGGUGAGCAGACACCAAUCAUGACCCCAAACAGCAAGAGGACAGAAGUCUGCAGGAUGCUCAGCAGGGGCACUCCCUGAACACGCCUGCUCCCACAGCAUGUGCAAAGGCUUCACACUUGGAUUGAGGGUUAUACAUUUCUUCAUGGACAUCCCCAAACAACACAGAACAGAGACAAGGUUUCUGGUCCUUUUGGAAUGUCCACACCAUUCCCAUUCUUCAAAAUCUGUCACACUUCCAGAUAGUUCCAGUGAACAAUGAACUCUCCCCCUAUGCAGUAACAGUUGAUUAUUCAAUUUAACACUGAAUUAUAUAUUCUCUGGAACUGUUCUCUAACAACUAUGAGGCGUUUUCAACGGUAGUUGAAUGGAAAAAUACCAAACUGGGAGUAAAAAGAUCUGGCUUCCAGGCCAGGCGCGGUGGCUCAUGCAUGUAAUCCCAGUACUUUGGGAGGCUGAGGCGGGCGGA
rnacentral:lncRNA from 1 species